rfam:Trichosporon asahii var. asahii CBS 8904 unplaced genomic scaffold scaffold00105, whole genome shotgun sequence.
GGGCGUGUAGCUCAGUUGGUAGAGCGCGUCAUUAGCAAGCCCACCAGCAGCCCUUGCGAGCUGCUCGAAAGCAUGUUACAUUGACGAGGUCUUUGGUUCGAUUCCUAACUCGUCCA